rnacentral:rRNA from 1 species
UUGGGUCCAGAAGGAAGGUAGCCGCAGGGCUUAUUCCUUGCAAGCGAGGGGGAGCAGGACACUUCCGUGGUGGCUGCGGACGGGGGACCGGUGGAGUAAUACGCAUGUAAUCUACCUGGUACUGGAAGAAUAGCUCCCAGAAAUGGGAAAUUAAUACACCAUCAAAUCUUAGCAGCGCAUGCUGUUAAGCUAAAAGCUCCGGCGGUACAAGAUGAGCGUGCGUCCUAUUAGCUAGUUGGUGAGGUAAAAGCUCACCAAGGCUACGAUAGGUAGGGGUUCUUAGUGGAAGGUCCCCCACACUGGCACUGAGAUACGGGCCAGACUCCUACGGGAGGCAGCAGUAAGGAAUAUUGGUCAAUGGGCGCAAGCCUGAACCAGCCAUGCCGCGUGCAGGAUGAAGGCCCUCAGGGUUGUAAACUGCUUUUGUACAGGAACAAAAAGCUUCUGCGGAAGCUACUGAGUGUACUGUAAGAAUAAGCACUGGCUAACUCCGUGCCAGCAGCCGCGGUAAUACGGAGAGUGCAAGCGUUAUCCGAAUUUAUCGGGUUCAACGGGGUGUAGGCAGCUUUUCAGUCAGUGGUGAAAGCUAGCGCUCACGCUAGAGCUCUAUCGAACUGUAUGCUUGAG